CACAUCCUGCAGUGUUCGUGAUUCCGUUAUGCUUGAAACCGUAUAAUAAACUAGGGAUUCUUAUAUGCUUUGCUGAUGCCAAGCCUGAUACGGUCAGGAUCGCAGACAGGCCAAGCUGCGGAAACCCACCUGCGGAGAGCGGGUUAUCAAGCAUCCUGGAACACGGCAUAUGGCGGGACGUUU
rnacentral:other from 1 species